AGAGUUUGAUCCUGGCUCAGAACGAACGCUGGCGGCAGGCCUCAUACAUGCAAGUCGAGCGGUCCUUCGGGACAGCGGCGAACGGGUUAGUAACGCGUGGGAACGUGCCCUUUAGUACGGAAUAGCCAUUGGAAACGAUGAUUAAUACCGUAUACGCCCCAAGGGGGAAAGAUUUAUCGCUAAAGGAUCGGCCCGCGUUAGAUUAGGUAGUUGGUAGGGUAAUGGCCUACCAAGCCGACGAUCUAUAGCUGGUUUGAGAGGAUGAUCAGCAACACUGGGACUGAGACACGGCCCAGACUUCUACGGAAGGCAGCAGUAGGGAAUCUUGGACAAUGGGCGAAAGCCUGAUCCAGCCAUGCCGCGUGAGUGAUGAAGGCCCUAGGGUUGUAAAGCUCUUUCGCCAGGGAAGAUAAUGACGGUACCUGGUAAAGAAACCCCGGCUAACUCCGUGCCAGCAGCCGCGGUAAUACGGAGGGGGUUAGCGUUGUUCGGAAUUACUGGGCGUAAAGCGCACGUAGGCGGAUUAAUAAGUCAGGGGUGAAAUCCCGAGGCUCAACCUCGGAACUGCCUUUGAUACUGUUAAUCUUGAGUUCGAGAGAG
rnacentral:rRNA from 1 species